rnacentral:rRNA from 1 species
UACGUAGGGUGCGAGCGUUAAUCGGAAUUACUGGGCGUAAAGCGUGCGCAGGCGGUUCGCCAAGUCAGGUGUGAAAUCCCCGGGCUUAACCUGGGAAUUGCGGUUGAAACUAGCGGGCUUGAGUGUGGCAGAGGGGGGUGGAAUUCCACGUGUAGCAGUGAAAUGCGUAGAGAUGUGGAGGAACACCGAUGGCGAAGGCAGCCCCCUGGGUCAACACUGACGCUCAUGCACGAAAGCGUGGGGAGCAAACAGG